UAUAUUAAAUUUCAAUGGAACAUUUUCGGUUUUCCGAACCGCGGUUUUGAUAGAAUAUAAAUACGGUGGUGCGGGUAAAUUCGCAACCGCUUUGAUUAUAGGCCAUUGUGCGCAAAACGUCAUCGGGAAACUUUUUCCAAUGCACUUUCGGGUUACUCUGACCGUUAAAACGGGACAGCGAUUUGCCCGACAUCGCAAACUUUCGCGCAAGUACAAAGUCCCUAAGUGCUUAUGUAUUAUGCAAUAUAAUAAUAAUAUAUCGGUAUAUUUAUAUGCCAUUCAAACCAAUAUUGCAUGACACCACGGGACUUUCGUGGUUUAAUAUCGGUAUAAGUGCGGUAUUUCUAGGUUUAAGUGAAAUUAUUGAUUUGAAAUAACCUUAAAAUCAGCUGUAUUUCGAUGAUUC